AGGAGACCCCCGAGGGACGGAGGAGACCCCCGAGGGGCGGAGGAGACCCCAAAGUUCCGGGGGAGACCCCCGAGGGGUCGAGGAGACCCCCGAGGGGAGGGGGAGACCCCCGAGGGGCGGAGGAGACCCCCGAGGGGUGGGGGAGACCCCCGAGGGGCAGGGGAGACCCCGAGGGUCCGGGGCACUCACCCGAGUGGGUUUUGGCUGUUCCGGAGGAGUUUUUGGGGGGUUCGGUUCGGGUCCUUACGGACGGGACGGUCCCGGUUCGGGUCCCGGUUCGGGUCCCCUCCGGGCGGGUUCCGGUCCCUUGGCGCGGGACGGGGACGGUUCGGGACGGUUAGGUCUGUCCGGAGCGGUUCGGCUCCUCCCGGUUCGGUUCCCUCAGGCGGGUUCGGGACGGUUCGGUCUGUCCGGAGCGGUUGGACUCCUCCCGGUUCGGCUCCUCCCGGUUCGGUUCCCUCAGGCGGGUCCGAGUCCCCUCAGGCAAGUUCGGGACCUUCCGAACAGCUUCGGGUGCACGUUCGGGCCCCCCCGGUGGGGUUCGGGUCUCUCCGGGAGUGUUCGGGUCCCGCUUCGAGUCCAAGUUCGGCUGUUUCCGGAGCGGUUCGGCCCCUCCCGGUUCGGACCCUUCGGGCGCGUUCGGGUCUCUCCGCCGGGCGGUGCCCAGCGGGGCGUGGCCAGCGGGGAGUGACGUCAGGGGGUCCCGGAAUGACGUCACAGCAUCCCCACGAACUGGGGGGGGGGGGUCCCCAAAAGGGGGGGAGGGGCACCCACGUGUGUGGGUGGGGGAGGGGAGGGGGUGACACGAGGGACAAAGGGCGGCGCCCCCGCCCCUCCCCCCGCUCGGUUUUGGGCCGUUUUGGGCUGUUUUGGGAAGUUUUGGGCCGUUACCGGGGGAACGCGACCGCGGCCGCCCCAAAUAUUGCCGUGGUUGCCAUGGGAACGGGGUGGGGGGGGUAGGAGCGGGUGGGGGAGGGGCUCAGGGCGCGGGGGGGGCGCGGGGACCCCCCAAAUUCAGCGGGGGGGGGGGUGGGGAGGGGUCCCUCGCGGCUCAGCACCUGUGGGAGGAGGGGGCUCAGGGGGGCACCCAUGGCACCGGGACCCCCACCCAUAGGGCUGGGACCCCACCCAUGGCACCGGGACCCCCACCCAUAGGGCUGGGACCCCACCCAUAGAUUUUGGACCCCCACCCAUGGCCCUGGGACACCCACCCACAUCCCAGGACCCCCCCACG
rnacentral:lncRNA from 1 species